rnacentral:rRNA from 1 species
CUUUCGGCGUGCUUAACACAUGCAAGUCGAACGGAAAGGCCCUGCUUUUGUGGGGUGCUCGAGUGGCGAACGGGUGAGUAACACGUGAGUAACCUGCCCUUGACUUUGGGAUAACUUCAGGAAACUGGGGCUAAUACCGGAUAGGAGCUCCUGCUGCAUGGUGGGGGUUGGAAAGUUUCGGCGGUUGGGGAUGGACUCGCGGCUUAUCAGCUUGUUGGUGGGGUAGUGGCUUACCAAGGCUUUGACGGGUAGCCGGCCUGAGAGGGUGACCGGCCACAUUGGGACUGAGAUACGGCCCAGACUCCUACGGGAGGCAGCAGUGGGGAAUAUUGCACAAUGGGCGGAAGCCUGAUGCAGCAACGCCGCGUGCGGGAUGACGGCCUUCGGGUUGUAAACCGCUUUCGCCUGUGACGAAGCGUGAGUGACGGUAAUGGGUAAAGAAGCACCGGCUAACUACGUGCCAGCAGCCGCGGUGAUACGUAGGGUGCGAGCGUUGUCCGGAUUUAUUGGGCGUAAAGGGCUCGUAGGUGGUUGAUCGCGUCGGAAGUGUAAUCUUGGGGCUUAACCCUGAGCGUGCUUUCGAUACGGGUUGACUUGAGGAAGGUAGGGGAGAAUGGAAUUCCUGGUGGAGCGGUGGAAUGCGCAGAUAUCAGGAGGAACACCAGUGGCGAAGGCGGUUCUCUGGGCCUUUCCUGACGCUGAGGAGCGAAAGCGUGGGGAGCGAACAGGCUUAGAUACCCUGGUAGUCCACGCUGUAAACGGUGGGUACUAGGUGUGGGGUCCAUUCCACGGGUUCCGUGCCGUAGCUAACGCUUUAAGUACCCCGCCUGGGGAGUACGGCCGCAAGGCUAAAACUCAAAGGAAUUGACGGGGCCCCGCACAAGCGGCGGAGCAUGCGGAUUAAUUCGAUGCAACGCGUAGAACCUUACCUGGGUUUGACAUGGAUCGGGAGUGCUCAGAGAUGGGUGUGCCUCUUUUGGGGUCGGUUCACAGGUGGUGCAUGGCUGUCGUCAGCUCGUGUCGUGAGAUGUUGGGUUAAGUCCCGCAACGAGCGCAACCCUUGUUCACUGUUGCCAGCACGUUAUGGUGGGGACUCAGUGGAGACCGCCGGGGUCAACUCGGAGGAAGGUGGGGAUGACGUCAAGUCAUCAUGCCCCUUAUGUCCAGGGCUUCACGCAUGCUACAAUGGCUGGUACAGAGAGUGGCGAGCCUGUGAGGGUGAGCGAAUCUCGGAAAGCCGGUCUCAGUUCGGAUUGGGGUCUGCAACUCGACCUCAUGAAGUCGGAGUCGCUAGUAAUCGCAGAUCAGCAACGCUGCGGUGAAUACGUUCCCGGGGCUUGUACACACCGCCCGUCAAGUCAUGAAAGUUGGUAACACCCGAAGCCGGUGGCCUAACCGUUGUGGGGGAGCCGCCGAAGGUGGGACUGGUGAUUAGGAC